rnacentral:rRNA from 1 species
ACGGAAGGCAGCAGUGGGGAAUAUUGCACAAUGGGCGAAAGCCUGAUGCAGCGACGCCGCGUGAGUGAAGAAGUAUUUCGGUAUGUAAAGCUCUAUCAGCAGGGAAGAAAAUGACGGUACCUGACUAAGAAGCCCCGGCUAACUACGUGCCAGCAGCCGCGGUAAUACGUAGGGGGCAAGCGUUAUCCGGAUUUACUGGGUGUAAAGGGAGCGCAGACGGCAAGGCAAGUCUGAAGUGAAAGCUCGGGGCUCAACCCCGGAACUGCUUUGGAAACUGUUUAGCUAGAGUGCAGGAGAGGUGAGUGGAAUUCCUAGUGUAGCAGUGAAAUGCUUAGAUAUUAGGAGGGACACCAGUGGCGAAGGCGGCUUACUGGACUGUAACUGACGUUGAGGCUCGAAAGCGUGGGGAGCAAACAGGAUUAGAUACCCUGGUA